rnacentral:rRNA from 1 species
UACGUAGGGUGCAAGCGUUGUCCGGAAUUAUUGGGCGUAAAGGGCUCGUAGGCGGUCUGUCACGUCGGGAGUGAAAACUCAGGGCUUAACCCUGAGCCUGCUUCCGAUACGGGCAGACUAGAGGUAUGCAGGGGAGAACGGAAUUCCUGGUGUAGCGGUGAAAUGCGCAGAUAUCAGGAGGAACACCGGUGGCGAAGGCGGUUCUCUGGGCAUUACCUGACGCUGAGGAGCGAAAGCGUGGGGAGCAAACAGG